GUCUCAGUCACUUCUCAUCUCUCCUUUUUAGGCCAAACACCACCCCCACCAGUCCCUGCGCUCCCCCCCUAAAAAUAGAAGCAGCAGCAUGCAAUUCCCCACACCCUCAAACAGAUCCUGAAGCUGGUGCUCUCCCUGCAGAUCCCCAAUCACCAGACGAUGGGCUUAUGAGAGUGAGCCAGCACCCCAGCACAGCAACUGUGUUACCGGCAUCACUACCACUGCGAGAGAGCUCAAGAAGCCAGCAGGCUCCAACUCCCACAGUACUUGUGAGAACCAAAGCUCAGCUGCUCAUCCAUGGACAUGUCGCCGAACCCCGACAGCCCCUCGUCAGGAGGGGGCAACGGCAUCGGGCCGAGCAGCGGAGGCGCAUCGCCGUCGGUUGGUUCCAUGACGCCGCAGUCGCCGAGCCGGUACGAGGCGCAGAAGCGGCGCGACUGGAACACGUUCGGGCAGUACCUGCGGAACCACCGGCCGCCGCUGAGCCUGGCGCAGUGCAGCGGGGCUCACGUCCUGGAGUUCCUCCGCUACCUGGACCAGUUCGGCAAGACCAAGGUGCACGGCCCGGCGUGCCCCUUCUUCGGCCAUCCGAACCCGCCGGCGCCGUGCCCCUGCCCGCUCCGCCAGGCCUGGGGCAGCCUGGACGCCCUGGUGGGCCGCCUCCGCGCCGCCUUCGAGGAGAACGGGGGCCGCCCGGAGUCCAACCCCUUCGCGGCGCGCGCCGUGCGCCUCUACCUCCGCGAGGUCCGCGAGCACCAGGCCCGCGCCCGCGGCGUCAGCUACGAGAAGAAGAAGCGCAAGAAGCCGCAGCAGCUGCAGGGCGACAGCAGCGGCGGCCUUCACGGCCACGCGCACCAGCCGCCGCCGCCGCCCCCGCCGCCCGCCGGCGCCGCCUGCUGAGCCUGAGAUGUUCCAUCGUCGCCUCGACGGCUCGUAGCCUCGUACGUACGUACGUACGCUCUCCCAUUUGGCCGGUAUGAUGCCAGAUUGAGCUUGAGCAUACAUAUUUUAUGUAUCAUCUCGCGCGCGUAUGCGUGCAUGCAUGUGCAUGGCAGCAGUAGUGUAUGAUGAUCCGUGUACUCUACCCGUGAGAAGCACUACUAUCUAGUACGUGUGUGUACUGCAUUGCUGGUCCUGUGUUUUCGAUUCGCUUUGGUGUUGUCGGAUCUAUUUGCAUUGCUUGUAGGAGUGAGCAAGUGUGUUUGCUGUACUUUGGACUGAGGAGUAGUAUGUCCGUCGUCCGUACGUCCUUUGAGGUCUAGCUAGGGACAGGGAGAUACAUAUAUGGUGAUCUCUCUUUGCUGCAGCUUCUGUUUGUGGGAAAUUCAAAAGCCUGUGUCGUGUGUGUGUCCAUCUAUCUCUCUCUCUACGCAUGCAUGUGUCAUUU
rnacentral:misc_RNA from 1 species